GCCGUCAUAGCACAGUGGUAGUUGCGCCUGCCUAGUAAGCAGGAGGUCGAGAGUUCAAGCCUCUCUGAUGGCA
rnacentral:tRNA from 1 species